rnacentral:lncRNA from 1 species
UUUUAUUUGUUUUGAAAUGUGGUUCUGUUGGGUUAUGGGAAAUUAUGACUUCUAUUGUUGAUGUAACAUGGUCUGUUUCUUUGUCUACCGCAGCUUUGGUUUCUUAGGCUCAUGUUAGGUGGUGCUUAAUAUUUGUGGGUCUACUUUAGUGGCAUUGCCGCUUUCAAACCUCAUUUUCCAUGUGAUUGGUUUGGGUAGAUAAACGUUUCACUCCUUAUUGAUAAAUGAUACCAAAUUGCAGUAAAAGGAUGUGCUAAGGAACAUAGAUCACCACUUGAAGUACGUACUCUAUCUCCUUUCGUGUUGUCUAAUACUUAUUUAGAAGGAUUAGGACACUUCUGAAUAAAUUGUCCAUCUGGUUAUUCAUUCUCACCAAUGGCUUUAAUGGUCAAAUCUGCAUUUAAGGGGACAUGUUGCAGUCUCUGGUGUAGGGUGCUCGUUUUUUGCUUGAUCAAUUUCUCAUUUGCAAGUUUUAUCUUGAAUAAUUUCCAAGUGUACUUUUCAUAUGUAUUUCUCUUGUAGCCGGUCUCUAUCGAUAAUUUGAAGGUGUUGUGAUAUGUCUCUUUACUUUAUUUGAAGAUCGAAGGAAUUUUAAAUACCAACAAAAAAAUUAUGUGGACUUCUCUGAUGUGAUCUGAAACUUGCCAUAAACUUGUAUGGCCCUUUUUUGUGUUUUUCUAUUUGCCUUUUAUUUUUCGUUAGUAAAGGCGAGCAUGCCUCUAUUGGUAUCUUACGUGAUGAAUGGGGAAGUUUCAUUCUGCCUGUGGCUUUCUGUUGUUAUUUUAUAGUUUCUUUUCAUCUUUAAGCAUAUGGAUGCCUCAAGUUUUUGAGUUUAUGCGUGAUUCGAAGAAAACAUUUUGUUUUUCUGACUUUAUAAUGCAAUCCUAUUUUAGUUAAAAUGAUUGGAAUUAGUAGAUUCACUCUACUGAUUGAUGACAUGUGAACUUUGGGGCAUUUUUUCUUGUUUCCAGGGUAUGGCUUGUGGAUUAUAUUUUUAAUGCCAGCAUGCCUAAAUUGGUAUCUCAUCUCAUGUGAUGCAUGAAGAAGUUUCAUUUUGCCUGUGCCUUUCUGUUAUGAGGAAGUUCUUUCAACUUUAAGCAUUUGAUUGCCCCAAUUUUCUUUUGUUAAUGUAUGAUUCAAGGAAAACUUGUGCCUUGUUUAUGACUUUAUAAUGCAAUUUCUUUUUGUUAAAAUGACUGGAAUUUGUUGAUUCCCUCUAUUGUUUGAUGACAUGCGAAAAUUUGGGGGUUUUAUUUCUGAUUUAAUUUUUUAUGCUGCGGCUACUUUGUAAAUAACCAUCAUUAAUGUUAUGAAUGAUUUGAUGUCGUCAUUUGGAGACUCACUUUCUCCAUUUUUAUGAGUUUAAAGUUUGCAGAAAAAGUUUUGACGAGUCAAUCAAGUUCACAAUACCACUAUAGGGUUGCUCCAUCGAAUUUG